GUUAGGAAUAUUGGACAAUGGGCGCAAGCCUGAUCCAGCCAUGCCGCGUGAGUGUUGAAGGCCUUCGGGUUGUAAAGCUCUUUAGUCCACGAAUAUAAUGACUGUAGUGGAAGAAUAAGCCCCGGCUAACUUCGUGCCAGCAGCCGCGGUAAUACGAAGGGGGCGAGCGUUAUUCGGAAUCACUGGGCGUAAAGCGUGCGUAGGCUGUUUUGUAAGUCAGAAGUGAAAGCCCAGGGCUUAACCCUGGAAUUGCUUUUGAAACUACAAGACUCGAAUUCGGGAGAGGAUAGCGGAAUUGUCAGUGUAGCAGUGAAAUGCGUAGAUAUUGACAGGAACACCAGUGGCGCAAGCGGCUAUCUGGACCGAUAUUGACGCUGAGGCACGAAAGCGUGGGGAGCAAACAGGAUUAGAUACCCGAGUAGUCC
rnacentral:rRNA from 1 species